rnacentral:rRNA from 1 species
AGUGAACGCUGGCGGUAGGCCUAACACAUGCAAGUCGAACGGCAGCACAGUAAGAGCUUGCUCUUACGGGUGGCGAGUGGCGGACGGGUGAGGAAUACAUCGGAAUCUACUUUUUCGUGGGGGAUAACGUAGGGAAACUUACGCUAAUACCGCAUACGACCUACGGGUGAAAGCAGGGGAUCUUCGGACCUCGCGCGAUUGAAUGAGCCGAUGUCGGAUUAGCUAGUUGGCGGGGUAAAGGCCCACCAAGGCGACGAUCCGUAGCUGGUCUGAGAGGAUGAUCAGCCAGACUGGAAGUGAGACACGGUCCAGACUCCGACGGGAGGCAGCAGUGGGGAAUAUUGGACAAUGGGCGCAAGCCUGAUCCAGCAAUACCGCGUGGGUGAAGAAGGCCUUCGGGUUGUAAAGCCCUUUUGUUGGGAAAGAAAAGCAGCAGGUUAAUACCCCGCUGUUCUGACGGUACCCAAAGAAUAAGCACCGGCUAACUUCGUG